CCAUCGGUCGGAAGCCAUUCUUGCUAGGGCGAUGAUGAUUGGCCGUGGCUGAAAUAAGUGUGCCUUUGAGCAAUCGAGGCACCUGUGGGUAUCAAGUUGGAUCCUCCCUCUUGUCUCUAGAAUCCUUUUUCAUCCUGUGAUACUUAUUGUUCUGCCCUUGGAUGGUCAUUCUUGUUGAGUGAUAACCAGGGCAGCUCAACUGUAUAAACAGGUUGAUCUGGUGAUAAGAGAUGACGGGGGUAGGUUAUAUGAUCGAGGAAAGGCGAAUCUGAGCCCACUAUGCAUUGAACCCUGGACUCUUUUUAUUUGUAUUUAAAGGUGUUGCUUAUCGAGAAACAAGAAUGUCAGUGAACCUCCAGCCUCCUCAGCGAUUUCGCAUUCUCGGUCGUUGGAUCUGGCCGUUUGAUGUGUUUUCGGCCGUUGGAUCCAGAGGUGGGAGGAGCUGGGCCGCCGGAUCGGAGAGGGGUAACUGUAGGAAUGGAUAGUUACCUCCCGCUGUAAAAAUCCUAUGCCUCGCCUGUAAUUCACGUGCCCCAUCGGUCAGAAGCCAUUCUUGCUAGGGCGAUGAUGAUUGCCUUGGCUGAAAUAAGUGUGCCUUUGAGCAAUCGAGGCACCUGUGGGUAUCAAGUUGGAUCCUCCCUCGUGUCUCUAGAAUCCUUUUUGAUCUUGUGAUACAUGUUGUUCUGUCCAUGGAUGGUCAUUCUUGUUCAGUGAUAACCAGGGCAGCUCAACUGUAUAAACAGAUUGAUCUGGUGAUAAGAGAUGACGGGGUAGGUAAUAUGAUUGAGGAAAGGCGAAUCUGAGCCCACUAUGCAAUGGACCUUGAACCCUUUUUAUUUGAUUUAAAGGUGUUGCUUAUUUAUGCUCCGGUGUUUAUAGUCGUCUUAUGUAUAGACCUCUUCUCUCUUAUAUCUUUAUUGCAUAUAAGUUGUUCUUGAUCUUUUAUUGUUUGUUGUUG
rnacentral:lncRNA from 1 species